GAUGAACGCUAGCGGGAGGCCUAACACAUGCAAGCCGAGCGGUAUUUGUUCUUCGGAACAGAGAGAGCGGCGCACGGGUGCGGAACACGUGUGCAACCUGCCUUUAUCUGGGGGAUAGCCUUUCGAAAGGAAGAUUAAUACCCCAUAAUAUAUUGAGUGGCAUCACUUGAUAUUGAAAACUCCGGUGGAUAGAGAUGGGCACGCGCAAGAUUAGAUAGUUGGUGAGGUAACGGCUCACCAAGUCAAUGAUCUUUAGGGGGCCUGAGAGGGUGAUCCCCCACACUGGUACUGAGACACGGACCAGACUCCUACGGGAGGCAGCAGUGAGGAAUAUUGGACAAUGGGUUAGCGCCUGAUCCAGCCAUCCCGCGUGAAGGACGACGGCCCUAUGGGUUGUAAACUUCUUUUGUAUAGGGAUAAACCUACUCUCGUGAGAGUAGCUGAAGGUACUAUACGAAUAAGCACCGGCUAACUCCGUG
rnacentral:rRNA from 1 species